GACGUAGGGCGCGAGCGUUGUCCGGAUUUAUUGGGCGUAAAGAGCUCGUAGGCGGCUUGUCGCGUCGACUGUGAAAACCCGUGGCUCAACCAUGUGGUCUGCAGUCGAUACGGGCAGGCUAGAAUUCGGUAGGGGAGACUGGAAUUCCUGGUGUAGCGGUGAAAUGCGCAGAUAUCAGGAGGAACACCGGUGGCGAAGGCGGGUCUCUGGGCCGAUAUUGACGCUGAGGAGCGAAAGCUAGGGGAGCAAACGGG
rnacentral:rRNA from 1 species